UACGGAGGGUGCAAGCGUUAUCCGGAUUCACUGGGUUUAAAGGGUGCGUAGGUGGGCAAGUAAGUCAGUGGUGAAAUCUCCAGGGCUCAACCCGGAAACUGCUCUGCAUACUGGCAGACUGGAGUGAUGCAGAGGUUCGUGGAAUUCCUGGUGUAACGGUGAAAUGUGUUGAUAUCAGGAGGAACACCCAUGGCGAAGGCAGCAAACUGGGCAUUAACUGACGCUGAGGCGCGAAAGCGUGGGUAGCAAACAGG
rnacentral:rRNA from 1 species